CACGUAGGCGGAACAGAAAGUCAGAGGUGAAAUCCCGGGGCUCAACCUUGGAACUGCCUUUGAAACUCCUGUUCUUGAGGUCGAGAGAGGUGAGUGGAAUUCCGAGUGUAGAGGUGAAAUUCGUAGAUAUUCGGAGGAACACCAGUGGCGAAGGCGGCUCACUGGCUCGAUACUGACGCUGAGGUGCGAAAGCGUGGGGAGCAAACA
rnacentral:rRNA from 1 species